rnacentral:lncRNA from 1 species
UUUUAAUUUAAUGUAAUUUUAGUUCCCUUCUUGUUGGGGGGUUUCAAAUGAUUAAUUGGUUAUUGUUCAUCUUGAUUACUCAAUUCUUGAAAGAGAGUGGAUUAAUUAUGUUUAGAGGCAGUAUAUAUAGUAAUGGGUAUGCAAGAUUUUAAGGUAUUUGGGUGUGUAGGAAUUUUAGGCAUUAACAGUUGUUGAAUUAAUGAAUUAUUGCUCGAUUCUACUCUGUAAUGACUAAAUUAAAGUUUGAUUUGUUCGGUUUCUAAAAUCAUUCUAUUGUGAGUAUGUUGGAGUUUUUGUUAGUCUAUUUAACAAUAUCAAGAAUGCUUGUUAAAUGUGAGCAUCUUAAACUUCAAAAUGAAAUGUUGAGAAAUUUGUUUAAUGAAAUUGCUUUAUUGGUAAAAUGCCGAAUUGAUUUUUCUAAAUUUUUUGGUACAAAUGGCCAUUUUUAAGUUCACAUCUCCUUUGUUAGGGAUAAACAGAUUUAUGUCACAUGGAUAUCUAAUGAUAAAUCUUUACGUUUUAUUAUUGUAUGAUACAGAUAAGAUAUCUGGAUACACAAAGGGCUACAAAUUUGUGAAGUCUAGUGAUAAAGUGAACAACUACGAGCCAUGGCUAAGAUGAUUGGAAGGAAUUGUUCAACCAGCCCAUGCUAAUUGGCUCAGCUGCUGGCAAACAAAAAGUGGCUGGUCAUGUUAAAUAUAUGAUCUACCCUUCAUCCUUGUGGUAUGUUUGUUAGCUUAUGAGAUGUCCAUUAAAGUAGCAAAUUGACUUAAACAUGCUGAAUUCGACCCUUUUUUUUUUUUUUUGGGUAUGUCAAGAUCUGAUUCUUGAAUCUGACAGUUUAAAUGCAUUGGUGACUUUUUGUUUCAGAGACAUUUUCAAGAUUCAAUAUCUGUUGAACAAUAGUGUUUAAAUUUGCUUCUUUCAAGUUGUGCUCUUGAAUCAUUGAAUAUAACCACAGUUCAUGAUAUUAUUUCUUUCGGGUACUUUAAACUUGUUAAAAAAUAAUAAUCUUUGUUCCAUCAACACACAUCUCCUGUCAAUACUUAUACAUGGAACACACUAACAUUAGCUUCAAAAUG